AAGUCGUAACAAGGUUUCCGUAGGUGAACCUGCGGAAGGAUCAUUAUAAAAAUUUACAUUUUAAUAUGUAAAAAAAAAAUGUAUUCAAAACCCAAUUCUUUAAAUCAUAAAAUAUAUAUUUUUAUAUAUAUAAAAAAAAUAAAUAAUAAAAUAAUAACAACUUUCAACAACGGAUCUCUUGGCUCUC
rnacentral:misc_RNA from 1 species